rnacentral:rRNA from 1 species
AUUGAACGCUGGCGGCAGGCCUAACACAUGCAAGUCGAACGAGUGGCGGACGGGUGAGUACUGUCUGGGAAACUGACUGAUGGAGAGGGAUAAGUACUGGAAACGGAAGCCAAUACCGCAUACCAUCGGAUGUGCCCAGAUGGGUUUAGCUAGUAGGUGGGGUAAAGGCUCACCUAGGCGACGAUCUCUAGCUGGUCUGAGAGGAUGACCAGCCACACUGGAACGGAGACACGGUCCAGACUCCUACGGGAGGCAGCAGUGGGGAAUAUUGCACAAUGGGCGCAAGCCUGAUGCAGCCAUGCCGCGUGUAUGAAGAAGGCCUUCGGGUUGUAAAGUACUUUCAGCGGGGAGGCGUUACCCGCAGAAGAAGCACCGGCUAACUCCGUGCCAGCAGCCGCGGUAAUAC